GACGAACGCUGGCGGCGUGCUUAACACAUGCAAGUCGAACGGAAAGGCCCCAGCUUGCUGGGGUACUCGAGUGGCGAACGGGUGAGUAACACGUGGGUGAUCUGCCCUGCACUCUGGGAUAAGCCUGGGAAACUGGGUCUCAUACCGGAUAGGACCGUGCUUUAGUGUGUGCGGUGGAAAGUUGUUCGGUGCAGGCUUGGCCCUAGGCCUAUCAGCUUGUUGGUGGGGUAAUGGCCUACCAAGGCGGCGACGGAUAGCCGGCCUGAGAGGGUGUACGGCCACAUUGGGACUGCGAGACGGCCCAGACGCCUACGGGACGCAGCAGGGGGGAAUAUGGCAGAAUGGGCGCGAGCCUGAUGCAGAGACGCCGCGUGGGGGAAGACGUCCUUCGGGGGGUAAACCCCUUUCGGCAGGGACGAAGAUGUUUUGACGGUACCUGCAUAAGAAGCACCGGCUAACUACGUG
rnacentral:rRNA from 1 species